rnacentral:lncRNA from 1 species
AGAGAGUGUGUCACGGCGGAGCUAUGAAAACAAACAGCUGGAACAGUGAGCAGUAAAGGCCUGUAAACGUGGCUGGACCUGAGGUGGAUCUGAGGGAUUUCACAUUAAUCCUGUUAGAGCAGCGGCCCGACCGUGAGACGUACUGUUGUGUUACCCACACGCUGAACACGGAGAAAAAAACACACACAGAUCUGUCAAACAGCGUGAGGAGUAUCAGGAUAAUUGACUCUGUGUGGCCUGUAAUCAGCGGCGCUGCCUGGGCUGGAGGCUGACAUGUCCAGCGUGAAGCGUCGAGAUGUGAACUGCAGACACCAGCAGCAAUAAAACUGGAGUCAGAAAAUCCCGGCCCA